AUCAGUUAGUUGAUUAGCAGUUAGUAAGAGGCUAUACUAUAGAGUGGCUGAUUAGGGGCCACUGUCAAAGAGCUGUCAGUAGACUGAGAAGAGGAUAAGGUAGCUAUCAUAGGGGCCAAGUAUGGUAAAUUAACUAGGAUUAGUAGGAGCAAACUGACUGUUGUGUUAGGGGGCUGAAUGAGGCUAUAAUCUAGCUAGAUUAAGGCUAAAGAAAGACCAGCAAUAGAGCCAUGUUGACUAGCCUUCUUCCUUAUCUACAAAUAGCUUUACCAGGUAUCUCAAUCUCAAUUAGUAAACUUCCUAACUAAGGCUCCAAAAACAGUAGCACACAGUGAGGGAAGGGAAGGAAUCCGGCUGGUAAAGGAGAAAGAAAUUAAGCAACAACUAAUUGCAGUAUCUGAGCUAUUAAGGUAAGCCUCCCAAGUCUCUCCCACUUUAUUCUCUUGCUACUAUUUGACUGCAAUGGCCGAAUGGCCUGAAAGGAAAAUAAAGGGGCUGUUUCUGGUAUUAGUUUUGUUAAUGUUUUAAUGUAGUUGGUGUGUAUUAGUUCUUUUUUUGUUUUGAUUACCAACUGAUACCAGUAUGCUAUGAAUAAGACCUUGCGAUUCUGAUGGUAUGAAACCAAUUGGAUAGCAGAGUAGCUAUGUGAUGGGCAUUUAGCACUAAAACUGUUACAUUAAAAUUUUUAAGUUGCUAUGUUAUUGCUUUAGGAAAUAAGUGAUUGCUAUGCUAUUUUUGUAUUGCUAUGAAUUGAAACUAGGCACAAGGAGAUAGGUUGGACUGAGAAGGAAUAAGGAGACUAAAAUGGGUUUAUGAUGUAAACCAAUGGCUAUGAAUCUAGUAAAUCAAAACUGUGCACACCAUGUGCUUGCUAAAAGUCCCAAGUGAUUUGUAGUGACUAGAAAACUGAAAUUGAGAAGGAAGUAAAUCAUGGUUCUUAUUUAGUUAACACGUGUGAUGUUAAUUAAAGUAAUUUAGCAUGCUAAACUCAAUCACAGUGCACUUUUUAGGCUAAAGCUAAUGGUUGAGAUUUAAACAUGUUAGAAACCGAAAAAAAUUGUGAACCGCUGACCCUAAAAGCAAAAUCCGUGGAUAUCUAGAGUUUCCAGAAACUUUUGGGCUUUUGGGGAUGUAUAGUUCACUGAAUAAGCUUUCCAUAGAUUCCGGAACGGACUAAUUCCGACUUCGGAGCAAAGAGUUAUGAUCUUUCAUAGUAGUCGCGUCAAAACUGUCUAAUCAACUCAGGUCAGUCCCUUUGCACGAAAUUCUGGAAUUCUGUGUUUUGAAUUUGGAAAUGGUCAAAGAAUGGAAGUUGUAGCAUCGGAAGUUAUCUUCGCGUGGGCUCAAGAAUCGCUCAAAAAAAUUUUGAAACGAAGGAGUUAUGACCAUUUUAGCGAAGGAGGGUCGUGCAGUCUAAAAACAGAACAUUCUGUCCACAUAGAGCAGAUUUUUGUUCUGUUCGGUUUGGAAUUUGGAUUUGUGAUCUGAAGAGAAGUUGUAGUCCUGGAAGUUAUCUUCUCGUGGGCUCAAGAAUCGCUCAAAAAUGUUUUGAAACGAAAAAGUUAUGACUGUUUUUGCGAGAGAGGUAAAGCCCAAAUGAAAUUGAAAAUUUUAAUGAACGUCCACUUUUGAUCGUUGUGUUGGGCUGUUUGUAAGGUCUGAAAUGGACGUCUAUUAUCUUAAUAAUAUAGCUUGAUAUGGCAUGUUUAUCAUAAUCAACAAUGGAUGUGAACCAAAAUAGGAGCUAGAACUUUAAGAUAUCUCAAAGUGGCAAAAAGGGGAAGCUUGUUGCUGCGUUUCUGCAACAAUGGGUUGUAGCAGCGUGCUAGAGGGCAGCAGUGGGAUCUUCCUUGCGCUCUCAAAUGUUGUGUUAUUUACCUAAGAUAUUUGGCUAAUAUUUUCUUAAAUAAGUGGGUAUAACACCUAUACAAUAUUCAAACUUUAGCAUCAAUGAAUCAAAAUUAUUGGGAACGAAGUACUAUCAAAAUAAAAGACGAGAAGUUGGGGCUGCUGCCCAUUGGCAGCAGCAGUUGGCAGCGAGCAGCUGCAAUAGCAGCGUUAGCGGCCUAUUUUUGGCUUUGUGGUGUAAUUUGAUAAAUUACCCAUAAAGUUUGGGUUAUUAUUUCUAUAUAAGUACGGACGGUAUAAAAUGUGUAUAUGAAUUAUGUAUUAUGUAAUAUGAUGCAGUAAGUUUUAAGUAUGAGAGUUAUGGGUUAAAGUAUGUAUGAUAUAUACAUAAGUGCUGAGUCAAAUGCUUUUAAGCAUGAGGUAUUAAGUUGUGAGCUAAUUAAGAGACACGAUGCAUUCUUUAGCUAAUAAAUGAAAAUGCUUGCUUGGGACUGUUAUGAGGAUUUAACAUCUAAGCAUGCCUACAGUGUCUUAUAUGGACUGUUUUUGUAUUCAAAAGAUGGCUGACUUUUGCAAACAUAAAUAGAGAAAUGAUUCUAUGUUAUAAGCAUGUUUUAAGGAUUGCUUGAAUGCCUAAAGUUCCCUUUUUCCUACUUGUGGACUGUUUUGGGAGUUAUAGCCAAAACUGUGUCUAAAUUCUAGUUUUGGGGCUGAUUUGGAUAAAGUUCAGUAACUGAACUCCUGAGUCAUGUAGAAGACCAUGAAAGGCCAUAAGAAGCAUCUAAAAGUUGUUCCUUAAGUUAGUUAAGGUCUACAAGGUGUAUUGUGCAAUGUCAGGCUUAAAAUCUAUAAAAGUAAGCUUUAAAGAGCAAUUAGCACCUAAAUAAAGAAAUACCAUUUCUGGACCAUGUAGGCAAGUUUCAAUAGUCAUAAUAGGACAUAAGAAAGCUACACAAACUAAAGGAACCAAGCCUAAGCCAUUUUGAGCAUGAGACUUGUCUCAAAUUCACAUUUUCAAGCCAAAAUGGACUGUUUUGGACAAUUCAUAGUACCUGACCUUAAAGGACUGUUAUGAGCAGAUACAAAGUUGCUCAUACAUGCUAGUAAUGAUUCCAAAUCAUGGUCAUGGCUAAAGCUAACAAGAAAACCAAUUUAAACUCUCUUUUCAAGCCUAAAGUGAGCUUUGAUAAGUCAAAAUGAGUUAGAUGAUUAAAUAAAGUGUGGUGAUGCUAAAAGUAACCUUAAGUAACUUAAAUAUACAUGCCUAUACUAUCCUAGUGUCCAGAGUUGGAAAAAUUUGGAAAAAGUACAAAAUCAAUUUUGUAAAAAAAGUAAGAAAAUGGCUAAGUUUGAGCCCUGUUUUGGAAAGCCUAAUGGGCAUGAACCAGAAUCCUAAACCUUGAUUAAAAUACCUUGUAGUAUGGUCUAGAAGUUGGGCCAAGUGGUUAAGCUCUUGGCUUAACCAAGGAGUCUAAACAAAUCACCAAACUAACUUGGAAAAUCACUAAAACUGCAGUUUUUGCAAAUUUGUCUAAGUAUGAAAAUUUGAGAUUUUUCCAUUUGGCCUAGAACUUAGUUUUGACACCUUAGACAAGUGAGUUAGAGUUAUGCUAGGCUAUUCCAAGUGUUGGAAUGCUAAUGUAUGCAUUAACUCGAGAAGUUAGUAUGUAAAAGCUUGAAAAAGCUUGGUUUAGAGGGUCAAAACCAAAUCUAUGCUUAGCGAACCUAAAGGAAUGCUAGAAACAGUUUUAACUAGAUAAAAUUCAAGUGUUGGAAUGAACUAAAGUGGCUAGAAAUGAAAUUGGCAAGAGUUGACCAAAACUAGUGAACUCAAGAACACAUGAACCCUUUAUGUUCUAAAUCCUGAAUAAGAUGUAAAUGAUGACUUUAAAGUCAUUCAUAUUGCAUGAUAUAAACAUGUCAAACCCCAUCAAAGUGAAAGAUAACUAAUGAGAAAACAUGGAUGAGGUAAUUGAAAAAAUGUAUACAAUAUCUCAAAUAUAGAAAUCUAAACUACAACCAUGAUAACUAAAAUUACGUGUUUUGUUAUCAAUCCCACAUACAAUGUAGGUUGUGCAAGGAACGCAGAAGUUGGUGUAAUGGUAAAACCCCGGUACAGGCAAGUUUCUCAGUUUAUUUAUGUUAACUUAUAAUUGCUAUAGAUAACUGUUAGCAUGAUAAUACUUAUGAACUGCAUUAUUUGCUUUGUGAAUGAUGAAUGUCAAAUUAUGACUAAUUAUUGAAUUGAGUCGGGGAACUCAAUAUAUAUGUGCAAUAAAUGACAGGUACAUGACAUGUGUAGUAUGCUAUGAUAUGUAUGUUGCUACCAGCAGGGCAUAAAUGUGAUAAUGUAUUUGUAAUAUGCUUGAACACCAAGAAUAUAAAUGCAUGAACUGAAUGUAAAACUUAUGUGCUACGUGAUGUAUGAUAGACUGUUAGACUUGCUGGGCCAUCGUGCUCAAUCUUGCUUAAUUUGCAGGUUAAAGCUAGGAUGCGAUCUAUCGUGAUUAGGAGCAUAUGAAAAGAAGACUAGUGAUUUAAUUGAGAUUGUGUUGAAUCAUUUGAUGAUAUUUUCAGGUGUAAAUCAUCAGAUGUGUAAAUUGUUCAAUUAUUCGAUAGAUGAAGAUUAUUUGUUCUAAAAAG
rnacentral:lncRNA from 1 species